AACGAACGCUGGCGGCAUGCCUAACACAUGCAAGUCGAACGAGACCUUCGGGUCUAGUGGCGCACGGGUUCGUAACGCGUGGGAACCUGCCCUUAGGUUCGGAAUAACUCCCCGAAAGGGGUGCUAAUACCGGAUAAUGUCUUCGGACCAAAGAUUUAUCGCCUUUGGAUGGGCCCGCGUUGGAUUAGCUAUUUGGUAGGGUAAAAGCCUACCAAGGCGACGAUCCAUAGAUGGUCUGAGAGGAUGAUAAGCCACACUGGGACUGAGACACGGCCCAGACUCCUACGGGAGGGAGCAGUGGGGAAUAAUGGAAAAUGGGCGAAAGGCUGAUCCAGCAAUGACGGGUGAGUGAUGAAGGCCUUAGGGUUGUAAAGAACUUUUACCCGGGAAGAUAAUGACAGUACCGGGAGAAUAAGCAACGGCUAACUCCGUG
rnacentral:rRNA from 1 species